AGGAGCAGGAAGAAGCUGGGAGGAGAGGGCUACGCCAAAAGAAGGGGAAAAGAAAAGCAGGCGACUGGGAUAAAAAUGAGAUGACUUGUAGGAAAGGUAGUCUGGAGUAGGUACAAGACUCCAGACAGGGAAUGAUUCUGCGACAUGGGGAAGCCAUUGAAAGCCUCAGAAAGAUUCUCAAGCUCCAGUGUGGCUCUGUAAAAGCAAAAUGAUGGAGACAUCUCCAAAGAAGACACAGAUACUAGGAAGAGGACCUCAAAAUCUGAAGGAGGAAUGAGCGGAGGAAGAUUUUCAGGAGGACCUGGUUGGGGGCCUCGUGGGGAGGACUUUCCAAAAAGGGCAAACAUCACAUCCAAUAAAUAGAAGUGUGAAACAUCAA